rnacentral:lncRNA from 1 species
AUGCACACGGCUAGCUGGUCAGCAAACUGUCCAAACCAGAAUCGGGGACCACGGGGACCAGUCGAAGCCCUCCCGACCGUGUCCUCGUCUCCUCCUGCGGGAGCGGGUCCCCUGGCCCAACGGCCUCGCGCUGCCCACGGGCACUCGGUACCCCGGUGUCCCGCCCCCCCCCCCCCAGGGAACCCGCUCCACGUCCCCCUGGGACGCCUGCAAGACCGAGGGCCCCGCCCACCUCGGCUCCCGCCCAAGGGCAGGAAGAGCCCGAGGACUGGCUGCAGCCCACCGGCCAGGCCAACGCCAGGGAGCGGACACCCGGAGGAGGAGGAGGUCGGCGGGGCCUUCCUGGAGGGGGCUUGGAAGGAGAGGGGAGGAGGGGGAGGGAGGAGGGGGGAGAGGACAGGGAGGGGGAGGAGGACGGGAAGGGGAGGAGGGAGGGGAGGGGAGGGAGGAGGGGGAGGACGAGGGGAGGGGGAGCAGGACGGGAGGGGGACAGGGGGAGGGGAGGGGAAGGAAGGACUGAGGGAGGACAAGGAGAGGCGGAGCAGGACGGGGGCGGGCGGAGGGGAGGACAGGGGGAGGGCCCCCUCCCUCGCGGUCCCCCCUCACGGGCCCCAUGGCGGCCCCCCCACGUCCCCCCUCGCGGCCCCCGCCCAGCCCCCCCACCCCCUCGCGACCCCCCCACCCCCCCCGCGGCCCCCCACGUUCCCCCCUCGCGGCCAGCCUCCCCCCCAUCCCUGCCCCCCCACCCCCUCGGCCCCUCGCGGCCCCCGCCCGGCCAGGCCGGCCCACCCCCGCCGGGCCUCGGAAGGGGCGCCGCGGCCCGCUCCCUCCCUCCCUCCGCCUCGCCUCCCCGGCGCCUCCCCGGCUCCUCCCCGGCUCCUCCCCGGCUCCUCCCGGGCUCCUCACCGGCAGCGCCGGGACCGCGAGCGCGAGCAGGCAGGCACGAGGCACGUGCGCGCGAGGCCGGGACCCGCCGGGAAGCCCCGCCGGGAGACCCCACCCCGCUCCGGCCGCCGCGCCGCUCAGCCCGCGCGAACGCCGCCGCCGCCGCCGCCGCCGGAGCCUCCUGCGUCACGUGGCCCGGCGCCGGGUGACGCCGAAUCCGCGAGUCCCCGGCGGCUGCGUGGCCUCCCGAGCGUGGCUGACGCUAACGCGGCCGCCAUGUUUGUUGAGGGCAGGCGGCUCCGCCCCCUCCCGCCGCGGGCUGAGGCUGCGGUUUCGCGGCCGCCCCGCCGGGGGGAGGAGCGCAGCCGAAGCUCGCGGACCGCGGGGCGGGCUGACCCCGCGCCCUCGGGGCACAGGUCGUGCGGUUUGGUGGACCCCGUCCCGGGAGCGCCCGGCCACCUACUUCCGCUGUCGAGCUUACACCCCUGCCGAAUGGCAGGCAGGGGUCGGUCCUGCAAAAAUGUUGGGCUCGUUUUAAUAGAAGAGGAAACAGGCAGAAAGCUCGUCUGA